AGCGUAGACGGAUGGACAAGUCUGAUGUGAAAGGCUGGGGCUCAACCCCGGGACUGCAUUGGAAACUGCCCGUCUUGAGUGCCGGAGAGGUAAGCGGAAUUCCUAGUGUAGCGGUGAAAUGCGUAGAUAUUAGGAGGAACACCAGUGGCGAAGGCGGCUUACUGGACGGUAACUGACGUUGAGGCUCGAAGGCGUGGGGAGCAAACAG
rnacentral:rRNA from 1 species